GAUAAGUAAUGUGAAUUGCAGAAUUCAGUGAAUCAUCGAAUCUUUGAACGCACCUUGCGCUCCUUGGCAUUCCGAGGAGCAUGCCUGUUUGAGUGUCGU
rnacentral:rRNA from 1 species